UCUGCCGCUGCUGCUGCUGCUGCUUGUGCUUAUCGCAUUUUUGGCUUUAGUGCUCGGAUUGGCGCAUGUGGCGUAUGUUGUGAGAAACUUAAGAGGUACUGUAUGGUUUUACACUUGUAUGCGUCACAGUAUAUAUGUAUAUGAGUGUGUGAGAGUGUGAGAGUGUACACACUACAGCAUGUGCGUCCGCAAUUAGAUAAAAUUUAAUCAAAUCAAAUUUGUGAUAAGUAAAUUAGCACUUGUCGUUUGGGCAAUGCGAACAACAAAAACAACAACAGUUCCAGAGUCAGUUGAGCGCAAGGGAAGCGCUGGCAGAGGACAUCGGGGCAUAUGCUAAACACGUAUUUGCACUGGCCAAGUGCGAGACUAUCUAAAGCCAAGUCCUCAGUCGCAGUCGCAGUCGCUGUCACAAUCGCAUUCGCAGUCGCAGUCUCAUCAACAGGUAGCUGGCAAAUUGCUCGCGAGUCGCGAUAUUUCAGAUUUCCCUUUUGACGAAUCAACCAACGUCACCAAAAAUUUCCAAGCAGCGAUCGCCAAUUCUAUCGCGUUGAUUUCAGCAAUGUUUUUGUUUUUCUUUUUCGCACACUUUCCAAUAUUUUGUAACACACACGCGAAUGCGAAUUUAACCUAAAUACUACAAUAAAAAAUAAAUGCGCACGCCAACAGUUGAGUGUGGCGAACCUAUAUACCUGGCAACAGCAACCAGAGCAACAACAACAAUGACAACAGCAAUAGCAACAACAACAACAACAACAAUGCGACACUUACAACAAGCACUUGGUAGGCAAACGACAACGCGCCAACGAGCGGAAGGGACGCGUCUACACUUCACCACAUUUUCGCCAACACUGCGAGGCGAGUUUUAGUUUCAAAUUGAAUUUGCCUGCAACAACUUCAGCAUUUAUCACCACCAGUGUUGCCAAGCAUCCGAAAAAUAGCUGUUAUUGUGAUUCAAAAUAACUAAAAUAAAGCUAGCCGACUUUUUAGCAGCGGACAAAAUCGUGA